GACGAACGCUGGCGGCGUGCUUAACACAUGCAAGUCGAACGCUGAAGCUCAGCUUUUGUUGGGUGGAUGAGUGGCGAACGGGUGAGUAACACGUGAGUAACCUGCCUCCUUCUUUGGGAUAACGCCCGGAAACGGGUGCUAAUACUGGAUAUUCACUGGUCUUCGCAUGGGGGUUGGUGGAAAGGGUUUUUCUGGUGGGGAUGGGCUCGCGGCCUAUCAGCUUGUUGGUGGGGUGAUGGCCUACCAAGGCUUUGACGGGUAGCCGGCCUGAGAGGGUGACCGGUCACAUUGGGACUGAGAUACGGCCCAGACUCCUACGGGAGGCAGCAGUGGGGAAUAUUGCACAAUGGGCGCAAGCCUGAUGCAGCGACGCCGCGUGAGGGAUGGAGGCCUUCGGGUUGUGAACCUCUUUCGCUCAUGGUCAAGCCGCAACAAUGGUUGUGGUGAGGGUAGUGGGUAAAGAAGCGCCGGCUAACUACGUG
rnacentral:rRNA from 1 species